AUGCUUAAUUUCAAUUCUAGAUUAGUCACAGAUUGCUUAAAGUUGGAAGUCCAAAUUUUGCAGUUCAAAGAUUUUUGUGGAAAAGUACCCAUGCCAUUCAGAGGUAAUCCCCCUCCCUCUGUGCAGCUCAGAAGGGGACAGCAGGACUUUUACUCCUGCUCUCUGCUCACUGCCCAGACACACUCAUUGGUUGUGAGACUGUUGGACAGUCUCGCUUGCUACCAGGCACCCUGUCCUGGUUCGGUAUUAAUAAAGAACUCUGGUCUUGGAAGAGGCUGCUUAGCAACACGAGAAUGCCCAGCUUCUUUUUGCUAUCCACAUGGACUGACAUCUCAGAUGACAAGAUCACACGAGGUUAUCCUGGAUAAGCAUUUCAAUGUCAAACAGAUGGAGAAGAAAAUAGAUGCUGUUGGAGCCUACAUCCCACCAGAUGGGCAGCUCAACAGAAAGCCCUCCAACCUAGUUCUCCUCCAACAAUCAGAGGCUGAGCUGAUUCUUAACCUUAACCUAAGAAGAGGGCAUUACCAAGAACAACAAAGGAAAUAUCACAGAGUUAAGAGAGGUAAUCCACAGUAG
rnacentral:lncRNA from 1 species